rnacentral:rRNA from 1 species
CGAGAGGGGGCAAGCGUUAUUCGGAAUUAUUGGGCGUAAAGGGCGCGUAGGCGGCUUGGCAAGUGGAAGGUGAAAUCCCUCGGCUUAACCGAGGAACUGCCCUCCAAACUGCUUUGCUUGAGGCCGGGAGAGGUGAGUGGAAUUCCCAGUGUAGCGGUGAAAUGCGUAGAUAUUGGGAGGAACACCAGUGGCGAAGGCGGCUCACUGGACCGGUUCUGACGCUGAUGCGCGAAAGCGUGGGGAGCAAACGGGAUUAGAUACCCCGGUAGUCCACGCCGUAAACGAUGAGUGCUUGGUGUAGCGGGUAUCGACCCCUGCUGUGCCGAAGUCAACACAUUAAGCACUCCGCCUGGGGAGUACGGUCGCAAGGCUG